CCUACGGAGGCUGCAGUGGGGAAUAUUGGACAAUGGGCGAAAGCCUGAUCCAGCCAUGCCGCGUGUGUGAAGAAGGCCUUCGGGUUGUAAAGCACUUUCAGUGGGGAAGAAAGCCUUGGGGCUAAUACCCUCGAGGAAGGACAUCACCCACAGAAGAAGCACCGGCUAACUCCGUGCCAGCAGCCGCGGUAAUACGGAGGGUGCGAGCGUUAAUCGGAAUUACUGGGCGUAAAGCGCGCGUAGGCGGUCUGAUAAGCCGGUUGUGAAAGCCCCGGGCUCAACCUGGGAACGGCAUCCGGAACUGUCAGGCUAGAGUGCAGGAGAGGAAGGUAGAAUUCCCGGUGUAGCGGUGAAAUGCGUAGAGAUCGGGAGGAAUACCAGUGGCGAAGGCGGCCUUCUGGACUGACACUGACGCUGAGGUGCGAAAGCGUGGGUAGCAAACAGGAUUAGAUACACUGGUAGUC
rnacentral:rRNA from 1 species